CACUACUGCACUUGACUAGUCUU
rnacentral:piRNA from 1 species